rnacentral:rRNA from 1 species
GAUGAACGCUAGCGGCAGGCUUAAUGCAUGCAAGUCGAGGGACAGCACAGGUAGCAAUACUGGGUGGUAACCGGCAAACGGGUGCGGAACACGUACACAACCUUCCUUUAAGUGGGGGAUAGCCCAGAGAAAUUUGGAUUAAUACCCCGUAAUAUAGUUGAAUGGCAUCAUUUGAUUAUUAUAGCUACGGCGCUUAAUGAUGGGUGUGCGGCUGAUUAGAUAGUUGGCGGGGUAACGGCCCACCAAGUCUACGAUUAGUAGCUGAUGUGAGAGCAUGAUCAGCCACACGGGCACUGAGACACGGGCCCGACUCCUACGGGAGGCAGCAGUAAGGAAUAUUGGUCAAUGGACGCAAGUCUGAACCAGCCAUGCCGCGUGAAGGAUUAAGGUCCUCUGGAUUGUAAACUUCUUUUAUUUGGGACGAAAAAGGGCCUUUCUAGGUCAACUGACGGUACCAGAUGAAUAAGCACCGGCUAACUCCGUGCCAGCCGCCGCAGUAAGAC